AUGAUGGGUAGGGGAGCUUUGUAUGCAGGCUGAAGCAUGACCGUAAGGACAUGUGGACAGUAUACGAGUGAGAAUGUUGGCAUGAGUAGCGAGACGUGGGUGAGAAUCCCACGGGCCGUAAACCCAAGGUUUCCAGGGGAAGGUUCGUCCGCCCUGGGUUAGUCGGGACCUAAGCCGAGGCCGAAAGGCGUAGGUGAUGGACAACAGGUUGAUAUUCCUGUACCGCCAAUAAGCGUUUGAGAGAUGGAGUGACACAGUAGGAUAAGCUAACCGUACUGUUGGUUAUGUACGGCUAAGCAUUGAGGCAGUCUAAAUAGGCAAAUCCGUUUAGACAAUGCUAGGAUGUGAUGGGGAAGCCCUUCGGGGCGAAGUAGCUGAUUUCACACUGUCAAGAAAAGCUUCUAUCGAGUUUAAAGGCGCCCGUACCGUAAACCGACACAGGUGGGUGAGGAGAGUAUCCUAAGGCCAGCGAGAGAACUAUUGUUAAGGAACUCGGCAAAAUGACCCCGUAACUUAGGGAGAAGGGGUGCCUGUCUAUGACAGGCCGCAGAGAAUAGGCCCAAGCGACUGUUUACCAAAAACACAGGUUUCUGCUAAGUCGCAAGACGAUGUAUAGGAGCUGACGCCUGCCCGGUGCUGGAAGGUUAAGGGGAUCUGUUAGAGCAAUCGAAGCAGUGAACUUAAGCCCCAGUAAACGGCGGCCGUAACAAUAACGGUCCUAAGGUAGCGAAAUUCCUUGUCGGGUAAGUUCCGACCCGCACGAAAGGCGUAACGAUUUGGGCACUGUCUCAACAAUAGACUCGGUGAAAUUGUAAUCCCGGUGAAGAUGCCUGGUACCUGCGACAGGACGGAAAGACCCCAUGGAGCUUUACUGUAGCUUGACGUUGGGUCUUGGUACUACAUGUACAGGAUAGGUGGGAGACUAUGAAGCAUGGACGCCAGUCUGUGUGGAGUCAUCCUUGGGAUACCACCCUUGUAGUACUGGGAUCCUAACCAUAGGCCUUGAAUCAGGUCUUGGAACACCGUCAGGUGGGCAGUUUGACUGGGGCGGUCGCCUCCUAAAAAGUAACGGAGGCGCUCAAAGGUUUCCUCAGCACGGUCGGAAAUCGUGCGAAGAGUGUAAAGGCAAAAGGAAGCUUGAUUGCAAGACAUACAGGUCGAGCAAGGACGAAAGUCGGACUUAGUGAUCCGGUGGUACCGCAUGGAAGGGCCAUCGCUCAACGGAUAAAAGCUACCCUGGGGAUAACAGGCUUAUCUCCCCCAAGAGUCCACAUCGACGGGGAGGUUUGGCACCUCGAUGUCGGCUCAUCACAUCCUGGGGCUGUAGUAGGUCCCAAGGGUUGGGCUGUUCGCCCAUUAAAGUGGUACGCGAGCUGGGUUCAGAACGUCGUGAGACAGUUCGGUCCCUAUCCGUCGCAGGCGUAGGAAAUUUGAGAAGACCUGCCCUUAGUACGAGAGGACCGGGAUGGACGUACCUCUGGUGUACCAGUUGUUCUGCCAAGGGCAUGGCUGGGUAGCUAUGUACGGAAUGGAUAAGCGCUGAAAGCAUCUAAGCGCGAAGCCAACUUCAAGAUAAGAUUUCCCACCGUAAGGGUAAGACCCCAGGAAGACUACCUGGUUGAUAGGUCGAAGGUGUAAGUGCAGUAAUGUAUUUAGCUUAUCGAUACUAAUAGGUCGAGGACUUGUCA
rnacentral:rRNA from 1 species